UCCCUGGUGGUCUAGUGGUUAUGAUUCGGUGCUCUUAUCGCUGCGACCCGGGAUCGACUCCCGGUCAGGGAA